UUCUAUGGGGCGGGCCGUGUGGGAGGUGCGCGAGCACCUGCCGGUUCCUUUGCCCGGUCUGCUAACCCGCACGGUUCCGCCUCACCCCG
rnacentral:antisense_RNA from 1 species